rnacentral:rRNA from 1 species
GAAAGAUGGCUUUAGCUAUCACUCUGGGAUGGACCUGCGGUGCAUUAGCUAGUUGGUAAGGUAACGGCUUACCAAGGCGAUGAUGCAUAGCCGAGUUGAGAGACUGAUCGGCCACAAUGGAACUGAGACACGGUCCAUACUCCUACGGGAGGCAGCAGUAGGGAAUCUUCCACAAUGGGCGCAAGCCUGAUGGAGCAACACCGCGUGAGUGAAGAAGGGUUUCGGCUCGUAAAGCUCUGUUGUUGGAGAAGAACGUGCGUGAGAGUAACUGUUCGCGCAGUGACGGUAUCCAACCAGAAAGUCACGGCUAACUACGUGCCAGCAGCCGCGGUAAUACGUAGGUGGCAAGCGUUAUCCGGAUUUAUUGGGCGUAAAGCGAGCGCAGGCGGUUGCUUAGGUCUGAUGUGAAAGCCUUCGGCUUAACCGAAGAAGUGCAUCGGAAACCGGGCAACUUGAGUGCAGAAGAGGACAGUGGAACUCCAUGUGUAGCGGUGGAAUGCGUAGAUAUAUGGAAGAACACCAGUGGCGAAGGCGGCUGUCUGGUCUGCAACUGACGCUGAGGCUCGAAAGCAUGGGUAGCGAACAGGAUUAGAUACCCUGGUAGUCCAUGCCGUAAACGAUGAGUGCUAGGUGUUGGAGGGUUUCCGCCCUUCA